rnacentral:rRNA from 1 species
GACAGAGGUGCCAAGCGUUAGGCGGAAUCACUGGGCUUAAAGCGUGUGUAGGCGGAUUCCUAAGUACCUUGUGAAAUCCCACGGCUCAACCGUGGAACUGCUCGGUAUACUGGGUGUCUUGAGCCACUUAGGGGCGACCGGAACAAAUGGUGGAGCGGUGAAAUGCGCAGAUAUCAUUUGGAACGCCAAUGGUGAAAACAGGUCGCUGGGAGUGUGCUGACGCUGAGACACGAAAGCCAGGGGAGCAAAAGGG